CCAGCUGAUCUCAUAAACAGAGGAGUUUCUAAUUUAAUCCCCUUACUUCUUGGGCUCCAUUUGUGAAGCUACAGAUGCAGCUUUGGAGCUCCUGUGGUGCAGGCUUUACAGCUUUAAGACUCCUAACCAAGCCCUAAAGUUUUAUGAGAAUACCGUCAGCUACCUUCUCCAGCUUGCUCCUGUUUGUGUAAAGGAUCUUUUCAUAUGCAAAAGAAGGGGGAGGGGGAGUGUCUUAUUUGCCACUUGCAGUGGGCUUUCCAGCUGCCUU